rfam:Candidatus Accumulibacter phosphatis clade IIA str. TW-1, complete genome.
GCGCCCGUAGCUCAACCGGAUAGAGCACCGGCCUUCUAAGCCGGGGGUCGUGAGUUCGAGUCUCGCCGGGCGCG